UACGUAGGUGACAAGCGUUGUCCGGAUUUACUGGGCGUAAAGGGCGCGUAGGCGGCCACCGCAAGUCAAUUGUGAAAUCUCCGGGCUUAACUCGGAAAGGUCAACUGAUACUGCGGGGCUAGAGUGCGGAAGGGGCAACUGGAAUUCUCGGUGUAGCGGUGAAAUGCGUAGAUAUCGAGAGGAACACCUGCGGCGAAGGCGGGUUGCUGGGCCGACACUGACGCUGAGGCGCGAAAGCCAGGGGAGCGAACGGG
rnacentral:rRNA from 1 species